UCCACCAAAAUAUGGAACCAAUGCACAAAUCAAAAGGUCUUGCACUUUGGUUGUAAUGGGGCUAGGGUACGUACAGGUGGGAUAAACAAGGAAAAGGGAUCAAAAAGGCUCAAUAUAUGACUGAAAACAUGCAACACACCAGACCUUCCAUCAAUAAAACUCUAGAGUAGCUCCUCAACAUAUCCACAAUCCUCAAAAAGUAUGCAUCAACUCUAACAUAUACAUAUAGGGCAUAAACAUGAAUGAAUGUAUACACAAUAGGCCUUUUAUUUAUAGAACUCCAUUUUUUUUUCAUUUUUUUUUU
rnacentral:lncRNA from 1 species